rnacentral:rRNA from 1 species
UACGUAGGGUGCGAGCGUUAAUCGGAAUUACUGGGCGUAAAGCGUGCGCAGGCGGUUCUGUAAGACAGAUGUGAAAUCCCCGGGCUCAACCUGGGAAUUGCGUUGGAGACUGCAAGGCUAGAAUCUGGCAGAGGGGGGUAGAAUUCCACGUGUAGCAGUGAAAUGCGUAGAGAUGUGGAGGAACACCGAUGGCGAAGGCAGCCCCCUGGGUCAAGAUUGACGCUCAUGCACGAAAGCGUGGGGAGCAAACAGG